rnacentral:rRNA from 1 species
CCUACGGGAGGCAGCAGUGGGGAAUAUUGCACAAUGGGGGAAACCCUGAUGCAGCGACGCCGCGUGAGCGAUGAAGUAUUUCGGUAUGUAAAGCUCUAUCAGCAGGGAAGAAAAUGACGGUACCUGACUAAGAAGCCCCGGCUAACUACGUGCCAGCAGCCGCGGUAAUACGUAGGGGGCAAGCGUUAUCCGGAUUUACUGGGUGGAAAGGGAGCGUAGACGGUCCUGCAAGCCAGAGGUGAAAGCCCGGGGCUCAACCCCGGGACUGCAUUUGGAACUGUAAGGCUAGAGUGUCGGAGAGGCAGGCGGAAUUCCUAGUGUAGCGGUGAAAUGCGUAGAUAUUAGGAGGAACACCAGUGGCGAAGGCGGCCUGCUGGACGAUGACUGACGUUGAGGCUCGAAAGCGUGGGGAGCAAACAGGAUUAGAUACCCGUGUAGUC